rnacentral:rRNA from 1 species
UACGGGGGGGGCAAGCGUUGUUCGGAAUUACUGGGCGUAAAGGGCUCGUAGGCGGCCAACUAAGUCAGACGUGAAAUCCCUCGGCUUAACCGGGGAACUGCGUCUGAUACUGGAUGGCUUGAAUCCGGGAGAGGGAUGCGAAAUUCCAGGUGUAGCGGUGAAAUGCGUAGAUAUCUGGAGGAACACCGGUGGCGAAGGCGGCAUCCUGGACCGGCAUUGACGCUGAGGAGCGAAAGCCAGGGGAGCAAACGGG